rnacentral:rRNA from 1 species
CCUACGGGAGGCUGCAGUGGGGAAUAUUGGACAAUGGGGGGAACCCUGAUCCAGCCAUGCCGCGUGUGUGAAGAAGGCCCUCGGGUUGUAAAGCACUUUCAGUGAGGAAGAACGCCUGGUGGUUAAUACCCAUCAGGAAAGACAUCACUCACAGAAGAAGCACCGGCUAACUCCGUGCCAGCAGCCGCGGUAAUACGGAGGGUGCGAGCGUUAAUCGGAAUUACUGGGCGUAAAGCGCGCGUAGGUGGCUUGAUAAGCCGGUUGUGAAAGCCCCGGGCUCAACCUGGGAACGGCAUUCGGAACUGUCAAGCUAGAGUGCAGGAGAGGAAGGUAGAAUUCCCGGUGUAGCGGUGAAAUGCGUAGAGAUCGGGAGGAGUACCAGUGGCGAAGGCGGCCUUCUGGACUGACACUGACACUGAGGUGCGAAAGCGUGGGUAGCAAACAGGAUUAGAUACCCUAGUAGUC